UGAGGAAUAUUGGUCAAUGGGCGAGAGCCUGAACCAGCCAAGUAGCGUGAAGGAUGACUGCCCUAUGAGUUGUAAACUUCUUUUAUAAAGGAAUAAAGUCGGGUAUGUAUACCCGUUUGCAUGUACUUUAUGAAUAAGGAUCGGCUAACUCCGUGCCAGCAGCCGCGGUAAUACGGAGGAUCCGAGCGUUAUCCGGAUUUAUUGGGUUUAAAGGGAGCGUAGAUGGAUGUUUAAGUCAGUUGUGAAAGUUUGCGGCUCAACCGUAAAAUUGCAGUUGAUACUGGAUAUCUUGAGUGCAGUUGAGGCAGGCGGAAUUCGUGGUGUAGCGGUGAAAUGCUUAGAUAUCACGAAGAACUCCGAUUGCGAAGGCAGCCUGCUAAGCUGCAACUGACAUUGAGGCUCGAAAGUGUGGGUAUCAAACAGGAUUAGAUACCCUGGUAGUCCACACGGUAAACGAUGAAUACUCGCUGUUUGCGAUAUACGGCAAGCGGCCAAGCGAAAGCGUUAAGUAUUCCACCUGGGGAGUACGCCGGCAACGGUGAAACUCAAAGGAAUUGACGGGGGCCCGCACAAGCGGAGGAACAUGUGGUUUAAUUCGAUGAUACGCGAGGAACCUUACCCGGGCUUAAAUUGCAGAUGAAUUACGGUGAAAGCCGUAAGCCGCAAGGCAUCUGUGAAGGUGCUGCAUGGUUGUCGUCAGCUCGUGCCGUGAGGUGUCGGCUUAAGUGCCAUAACGAGCGCAACCCUUGUUGUCAGUUACUAACAGGUCAUGCUGAGGACUCUGACAAGACUGCCAUCGUAAGAUGUGAGGAAGGUGGGGAUGACGUCAAAUCAGCACGGCCCUUACGUCCGGGGCUACACACGUGUUACAAUGGGGGGUACAGAGGGCCGCUACCACGCGAGUGGAUGCCAAUCCCAAAAACCUCUCUCAGUUCGGACUGGAGUCUGCAACCCGACUCCACGAAGCUGGAUUCGCUAGUAAUCGCGCAUCAGCCACGGCGCGGUGAAUACGUUCCC
rnacentral:rRNA from 1 species